ensembl:lncRNA
AAAUAACGACAGUGGCACCCCUAUCAACGUUUUUGCAGGGAUCGGAACAUGAGCUGUUUAGAGUGUUAACUUCCAAACUUAUCAAUGCACCAUCAAGACACAUUAUAUAAUCGUCCCAAAGCUUAUACUUGACCUUAUAAUUCGCAUGAAAUAGAGACAUGAGUAUUCCAACAGAGGACAUCAACCGGACUUGAACCCCGGGCUGCAGGGGUUUAGCUCACCGCUCUCUCCACUUCCCACUGAGAUUCGUAUUUUAAUUAAGUCUGAGGUUAUAUAUGACAUGAUAGCAUUACGUUUAAAAUUAAAGAUAUUGUGUUUUCCAC